AUGAUUUGGAUCAAGUCAAUGGCAAAGGAUCAGUUACGUCUCGUUUUCAGAACGCGGGAUCUCCUCAUUCUUCCUUGCCACCCUCGAUUCACCGUCAAAGCCCACAGUUCCAACUCCCCCGUUCUUCACCACCUCAAAAACAUCGCCGGAGCAGCAGUCUUCUCUGUCGCAACCGCCACUGCCGUACUCACAUUUUCACCUUCCCCUGCCAGAGCCCAACGAACAUCACCAUCAACUCACUUGCAACACCAUCCUCCAUCUACUAUCGCCAAUCGCUUAUCAUCACCUCUGUUCCGUUCAGAUAUCUCACCAACCUCUUUCCACCAAACACCACGCUUAUCCUGCCAACCUGGAGUUACCACCAACCUUCUUCCAUAG